rnacentral:rRNA from 1 species
GACGAACGCUGGCGGCGUGCCUAAUACAUGCAAGUACAACGCAGUUCCGAACGGAUGAGUAACGCGUAGGUAACUGCCUCAUAACGAGGGAUAUCUAUUGGAAACGAUAGCUAAUACCGCAUACUGUGAGAUGGAACUGCGUUGUAUUAGCUCGUUGGUGAGGAAAAGGAUCACCAAGGCGAGUAUACAUAGCCGACCUGAGAGGUUGAUCGGCAACACUUGUACUGAGACACGGCCCAGACUCCUACGGGAGGCAGCAGUAGGGAACGUUCGGCAAUGGACGGAAGUGUGACCGAGCAACGCCGCGUGAGUGAAGAAGGUUUGCGGAUCGUAAGGCUCUGUUGUUAGAGAAGCGGGAACUAACCAGAAAGGGACGGCUAACUACGCGCCAGCAGCGGCGGUAAUUC